rnacentral:rRNA from 1 species
CAAUAGCGUAUAUUUAAGUUGUUGCAGUUAAAAAGCUCGUAGUUGGAUUUCGGUUAAGAGCGACCGGUCCGCCGUUUGGUGUGCACUGGUUGGUUUUAACUUCCUGUAGAGGACGUGCUCUGGGCUUAACGACCUGGACUCGGAGUCUACGUGGUUACUUUGAAAAAAUUAGAGUGUUCAAAGCGGGCUUACGCUUGAAUAUUUCAGCAUGGAAUAACACUAUAGGACUCCUGUCCUAUUUCGUUGGUCUCGGGACGGGAGUAAUGAUUAAGAGGAACAGUUGGGGGCAUUCGUAUUUCAUUGUCAGAGGUGAAAUUCUUGGAUUUAUGAAAGACGAACUUCUGCGAANGNAUUUGCNAAGGAUAUUUNCAUUA